rnacentral:rRNA from 1 species
GGGGAAUAUUGGACAAUGGGCGCAAGCCUGAUCCAGCCACGCCGCGUGAGUGAUGAAGGCCUUCGGGUCGUAAAGCUCUGUGGGGAGGGACGAACCGCUGCUGGUUCAUAUCCAGCAGCAUGACGGUACCUCCUUAGCAAGCACCGGCUAACUUCGUGCCAGCAGCCGCGGUAAUACGAAGGGUGCAAACGUUGCUCGGAAUUAUUGGGCGUAAAGCGCACGUAGGCGGCUUGGCAAGUCGGAUGUGAAAGCCCUUGGCUCAACCAAGGAAGUGCAUCCGAAACUGCUGAGCUUGAGUACUUAAGAGGAUCGCGGAAUUCCCGGUGUAGAGGUGAAAUUCGUAGAUAUCGGGAGGAACACCAGUGGCGAAGGCGGCGAUCUGGGAAGAUACUGACGCUGAGGUGCGAAAGCGUGGGGAGCAAAC